AGCGGCGGACGGGUGAGUAAUGCUUAGGAAUCUGCCUAUUAGUGGGGGACAACAUCUCGAAAGGGAUGCUAAUACCGCAUACGUCCUACGGGAGAAAGCAGGGGAUCUUCGGACCUUGCGCUAAUAGAUGAGCCUAAGUCGGAUUAGCUAGUUGGUGGGGUAAAGGCCUACCAAGGCGACGAUCUGUAGCGGGUCUGAGAGGAUGAUCCGCCACACUGGGACUGAGACACGGCCCAGACUCCUACGGGAGGCAGCAGUGGGGAAUAUUGGACAAUGGGCGCAAGCCUGAUCCAGCCAUGCCGCGUGUGUGAAGAAGGCCUUAUGGUUGUAAAGCACUUUAAGCGAGGAGGAGGCUACUUUAGAUAAUACCUAGAGAUAGUGGACGUUACUCGCAGAAUAAGCACCGGCUAACUCUGUGCCAGCAGCCGCGGUAAUACAGAGGGUGCAAGCGUUAAUCGGAUUUACUGGGCGUAAAGCGCGCGUAGGCGGCUAAUUAAGUCAAAUGUGAAAUCCCCGAGCUUAACUUGGGAAUUGCAUUCGAUACUGGUUAGCUAGAGUGUGGGA
rnacentral:rRNA from 1 species